UACAGAGGGGGCAAGCGUUGUUCGGAUUCAUUGGGCGUAAAGGGUGCGUAGGCGGCGCCGUAAGUCAGAUGUGAAAUCUUCGGGCUCAACCCGGAAACUGCAUUUGAUACUGCGGUGCUUGAGGACUGGAGAGGAGAUCGGAAUUCACGGUGUAGCAGUGAAAUGCGUAGAUAUCGUGAGGAAGACCAGUGGCGAAGGCGGAUCUCUGGACAGUUCCUGACGCUGAGGCACGAAGGCCAGGGGAGCAAACGGG
rnacentral:rRNA from 1 species